rnacentral:rRNA from 1 species
GACGAACGCUGGCGGCGUGCCUAAUACAUGCAAGUAGAACGCUGAAGGAGGAGCUUGCUUCUCUGGAUGAGUUGCGAACGGGUGAGUAACGCGUAGGUAACCUGCCUGGUAGUGGGGGAUAACUAUUGGAAACGAUAGCUAAUACCGCAUAAUAGCAGUUGUUGCAUGAUAACUGUUUGAAAGGUGCAAUUGCACCGCUACCAGAUGGACCUGCGUUGUAUUAGCUAGUUGGUGGGGUAACGGCUCACCAAGGCGACGAUACAUAGCCGACCUGAGAGGGUGAUCGGCCACACUGGGACUGAGACACGGCCCAGACUCCUACGGGAGGCAGCAGUAGGGAAUCUUCGGCAAUGGACGGAAGUCUGACCGAGCAACGCCGCGUGAGUGAAGAAGGUGUUCGGAUCGUAAAGCUCUGUUGUAAGAGAAGAACGAGUGUGAGAGUGGAAAGUUCACACUGUGACGGUAUCUUACCAGAAAGGGACGGCUAACUACGU